CCUACGGGUGGCAGCAGUCGGGAAUAUUGCGCAAUGGAGGAAACUCUGACGCAGUGAUGCCGCGUGCAGGAAGAUGGUUUUUGGAUUGUAAACUGCUUUAGACAGGGAAGAAAAAAGACAGUACGUGUAGAAUAAGCUCCGGCUAACUACGUGCCAGCAGCUGCGGUAGUACGGAGGGAGGAAGCGUUAUCCGGAUUUCAUGGGUGUAAAGGGUGCGUAGACGUAGAAGCAGGUUAGUGGUGAAAUCCCUCGGCUAAACGGAGGAACUGCAACUAAAACUACUUCCCUUGAUUACUGGAGAGGAAAGUGGAAUGUCUAGUGUAGCGGUGAAAUGCGUAGAUAUUAGGAGGAACACCAGUGGCGAAGGCGACUUUCUGGACAGUAACUGACGUUGAGGCACGAAAGUGUGGGUAGCAAACAGGAUUAGAUACCCUUGUAGUC
rnacentral:rRNA from 1 species